GACGAACGCUGGCGGCGUGCCUAAUACAUGCAAGUCGAACGAAGCUGUUUUAACUGGUGCUUGCACCGACUUAAACAACUGAGUGGCGAACGGGUGAGUAACACGUGGGUAACCUGCCCCGAAGCGGGGGAUAACAUUUGGAAACAGAUGCUAAUACCGCAUAACCACAGAAACCACAUGGUUUCUGUGUCAAAGAUGGUUUCGGCUAUCACUUUGGGAUGGACCCGCGGCGUAUUAGCUAGUUGGUAAGGUAAUGGCUUACCAAGGCAAUGAUACGUAGCCGAACUGAGAGGUUGAUCGGCCACAUUGGGACUGAGACACGGCCCAAACUCCUACGGGAGGCAGCAGUAGGGAAUCUUCCACAAUGGACGAAAGUCUGAUGGAGCAACGCCGCGUGAGCGAAGAAGGUUUUCGGAUCGUAAAACUCUGUUGUCAGAGAAGAACGUGUGCGAGAGUAACUGUUCGUGCAGUGACGGUAUCUGGCCAGAAAGCCACGGCUAACUACGUGCCAGCAGCCGCCGUAA
rnacentral:rRNA from 1 species